rnacentral:rRNA from 1 species
GACGAACGCUGGCGGCGUGCUUAACACAUGCAAGUCGAACGGAAAGGCCCUGCUUUUGUGGGGUGCUCGAGUGGCGAACGGGUGAGUAACACGUGAGUAACCUGCCCUUGACUUUGGGAUAACUUCAGGAAACUGGGGCUCAUACCGGAUAGGAUCUCCUGCUGCAUGGUGGUGGUUGGAAAGAUUCGGCGGUUGUGGAUGGACUCGCGGCUUAUGCGCUUGUUGGUGUGGUAGUGGCUUACCAGGGCUUUGACGGGUAGCCCGCAUAGGAGGGGUACCGGGGACCUUGGGACUAAGAGACGGACCAGACUCCUACGGGAGGCAGCGGUGGGGAAUAUUGCACAAUGGGCGGACGCCUGAGGCAGCAACGCCGCGUGCGGGAUGACGGCCUUCGGGUUGUAAACAGCUUUCGCCUGUGACGAAGCGUGAGUGACGGUAAUGGGUAAAGAAGCACCGGCUAACUACGUG